AGAUUUUGAUCCUGGCUCAGAAUGAACGCUGGCGGUAGGGCUUAACACAUGCAAGUCGAACGGAAACGAUGAAAAGCUUGCUUUUCAGGCGUCGAGUGGCGGACGGGUGAGUAACCGCGUGGGAAUCUACCCUAUAGUUGGGGACAACAUAUGGAAACGUAUGCUAAUACCGAAUAUGCUCUACGGAGUAAAGGAGCCCUCUUCUUGAAAGGUUUCGCUAUAGGAUGAGCCCGCGUUAGAUUAGCUAGUUGGUGAGGUAAAGGCUCACCAAGGCCACGAUCUAUAGCUGGUUUGAGAGGAUGAUCAGCCACACUGGGACUGAGACACGGCCCAGACUCCUACGGGAGGCAGCAG
rnacentral:rRNA from 1 species